GUGAGUGUCUCUAAUCCCCGUACAGGGUGAUCUAAUACAGAGCAACCAAUUUAAAACCAGGUGUCUUGGUAGCAUUGAUAGGAGAUGUUCAAAAUUCUGAAUGGGAAUUCAUAGACUUAAUUUAGUACAAUAUUUGUUUUGUCUGUUUAUCAGGGAUAAGUUUGUGCUCUGUGUUUAGGGUUGUCUGUCUGUUUUCGAGGCACUCUACAGUUUCCCAGGUUAGUCUGCAAUCUCUGGGGGCCUCAAGUUUCCCUCAAUUCCUGAGGCUUUGCUCCUUGCAGAGCACUUAGGCCCAUAUGUGCACUGCCAAACCCAGUGCUUGCUCUGCUGGCUUGCUUGCCAGGGCCCCUCUGCGUGACCCUGCCUGGCCUCAGACUCCCCUUCCUCUGCCUUCACUCAACAGCACUUGUUUCGUUUUCUAAUAAUUUGGGGCCUCUUACUCGUGACGUGAUAAUAAUGUAUAAAAGGGACAGAGAAAAUGAAGAUGUUUGGAGGCUGUUCUCUCUCACGGUGCCAAAAAAAAAAAGUUUUGUGUUCUUUGUCACUUUUAAAUGUAAAAAGAUUACCUUACUUUUAUGGGUGUUUAGGCUAAAUACAUUCCUGUGAACCACAUGCAUGCUCGGUGCUCUCGGGGGCCAGAAAAGGGUGUUAGAUCCUUGGGACUAGAGUUUCAGAUGUUUGUUAGCCAUGUGGGUGGUGCUGGCAGUCAAGCCCAGGUCUUCUGCAGGAGCACCCAGAGCUCUUGACUACUGAAGCAGCUCUCUAGUCUCUGCUUAACAUUACUUUUGAGGGCUUAGUUUUCAAAUUUCAGCCUAGCAUUAGUUCAAGAUGGGUGUAUUCAAGCUUACAUUGUUACACUGACUGUGAGUUGAGUAGAAAUGUAUUAUGUGGUGACAUUUUUGUUUGAAAGUGUGCUUUUAUCUACUAGAGUGUUUGAUACCUAAGUACUUGCUCAGGGACUCAGAGGCUGAGAAAGGCAUUGUUUGUAUCUAGAGCUCGGGCUGUAGGUGGCCUGUCAAGAUGGUUCAUUUAGUACUGAGCAUGAAGAACUCAUUUCCUAACCUUACAUAUGUGCUGUGGCAUACCCAUAUAACAAACACUCAAUAAAUAAUGCAUGUUUGAAAAAGAUGUGUUUGAGCUCUGGAGCCAGAAUUCCUAGCUCUGCAUCCUGAUUUCUGUAUCCUGUAGCUAAGCCACAUCACUUCCCUUGCUGUCAUUUUCUGUGAGGUGGCCCUGUGCUGCUUUAGAUGGUGGUGAUGAAUAUUGCUGCCUAAUGGAGAGCACUUGGUGCCUGGUGGCAUAGUGUCCGACAUUGUAGUCAUCUUGAGUAUAGGACGGCUUGAUAGCGAUUGUGGGAAUGUUUGCUCACAUUUACGCAGUCUAAGCCUCUGAACAUGAAUUUCAUGGACAGAAAUAAAUAGGUUUCUUUCAAAUCUCAUAAGUUGGUGGGUAGCAAGCCUGCCAUUAUAAAUUCUGUUUCUGUUAGGAUUUGGGAGUUCAACCAAAUAUGCCUAGGUAAGUCUUUAAAGUCUUGAGGGAUUUUUUGGUGGCUUAUAUAAGCCUGUUACCCUAGUACUGGGGAACUUAGGCAAGAGAUUCAUUGCGUUCAAGGCCAGCCUUGGCUAUAGUGAGAGUCUAUUGAGUUUACUUGGAUUUUUGCACUCUCAGUUAUUCAGGCUUUGUGGGAAAUGGCAUCUGGGUCGUUUUGUUGUUGUUGUCAGUUAUUUUUUUAAGCAGAGUUUCAGUGUGGUUGUCUUUCUCCUGCCUUUUAGGGGCUGAGAUUUUAGCCAUAAGUUAGCGUCCACAGCUGCCAUCCAGAGCUUUAAGGAACACCUAGAAAGCAAUAACUCGUCCUGAUUCAGGAAGCGUUUUGUGCUUGCCCUCAGAGCCACUGCUAGACUCAGUCCCGGCUUUGGAAGCCAAGAGGAGCUUUUACCAGGAUGAGAUUUCUGAUGUUGACUUUUUCAACUGAGGAAUUAAGGAAAGAAGUGUCUGCCUAAAGCUGUUACCCUUUCUCAUGUGACAAGUAAUUACUUUUAACCCUUCUCCUUAGUGUCUAUGAAUCCUUUGCCAAUCCUAGUUGAAUUUCAUUGACUUUCAAGUUUCUUCUUUGAAUUUCAAUUUAUUAAUGUGUGUGUGCAUAUGUGUAGGGCAGGGGAGAAUUGCCUGUGGGAUUGAUUUUUCUCCUUCUACAUUACGAGGGUUCACGGGAUCACAUUCAGGUCACCAGGCACCAAAGCUUUCCGCUCACUGAGCCGCCUCACUCCCCUGACUGUGUGGACAUUCCCUCUCUGGUGGGUGCUGUUGAUCUGAGUGUUGCUGUAGUGUCGGGAGCUCAGCUUGAUGGGUUGCUGUCCACAUUAUAAACUGCUGACCUUCAUAGGGUUUCUUGAUUCUGGUUUCUCUUUGUUGUUCAGGUUAGCCUUACUCUGAUGACUUUUUCAUUGAAAAAUACUUGCUAUUUCUCUGAAAAGGGUCAUCGGCAGACAUGCUAAUCUGUCUUAUACAGACUAGGAACCUAAAACCUUCUGUUUCAGUUACUGAUUGAAAGUUGACCUUCCAGGAAUUAGGGGGGAAAAUUGUGUUUCUGGGAAUCCAAAGAAUGAGUACUGCCGGAUGGUGGUGGCACACGCCUUUAAUCACAGCACUUGGGAGGCAGAGGCAGGUGAGUUCCAGGACAGCCAGGGCUACACAGAGAAAUCCACACACACAAAGAAAAAGAAUGAGUACUGUUCCCCAGUUUGGGUUUCUGUUCUGGAACUUGGCAGAACAGCUGUGUAGCUCUGUGGCAGAAGCUCCAUAUAGGUGAGCUGGUCAGAAACUUGUUUUCUUUGCCUUUUUUUUCUUUUUUUUUUUCUUAAAGCAGGUGCUGGUGUGGGCCUCAGGUGAUUCUGAGAUGACAAUAUUAUUCUUGGGCAUUUUUUUUUUGGUUUGGGGAAAGAUUUACCUAGUAAGGAACAGUCACAUCUGAAGUCAGAAGCCAGAGUUUCUACAGACUCCUUCCUUCCUUAGGCACUUGUGAAAGGAUGUGUAAAUCUGCUAGUUGUCUUGGUUCAGUCUCUGUGUCUGUGGUAAACACCACAACCAGAAGCAAUUUGGAGAGGAAAGGGUUAAUUUCAGAUCAGUUUAUAGCCCAUCCUGAAUUGCAGGGAAGGAGCUCAGGACAGGAGCCUGGAAGCAGGAACCGAGGCAGAGGGCCUAGGGUGCCACACCCUCACCUGUGUCCACUGUGAGCCCAGACUUGCCUGCAGCUCUUUGAUAGAGAUAUUUCCUCAACUGAGGUGCCUCUUCUUAGAGGACUGUUUGAAGUUGAUGAAACACUAGCCGGGACGGACGCUGUCACAUCCCUUCAGUAAACAAGAGUGUGAAGAGUCCCUGAGCUUGGCACCAGAGCUGGGCUGGCUGAUUGAACAGUCCCUCUAGGUUUUCUGUCUUUAUUCUUUUGAGGAAUUUUUUUCUCAGAUAAUAUCAUCAAAUCAUCUAGAAGCAGUUACCCAGCAUUUAAUGAGUUAAUUUUUCUUUUAAUCUUUUAUAUUUUACACGUAUGGGUGUUUUGCCUGCAUGUAUGUCUUCACCAUGUGUACACAGUGCCUGUCUAUCAAAAAAGGAUAUUUGGUCCCCUAGGACUGAAGUUGCAAGUAGUUGUGAGCCUUCAUGUAUGUGCUAGGAAUUGAAACUAGGACCUCUGGAAGAGCAGCCAGUGUUCUUAGCUAGCUGCUUAGCCAUCUUUGUAGCUCAGGAGUUACUUUUUAAUUAAAAAUCUAAAACCUAGUAUACCAUACCCAGGCAACAGAAGGAUUGGUUGCUGUGCCCCUCAAUAACACACCUUUCUAACUGGAGGUCUAAAACGAGGCAUGUUUAUCAAGUAUAUUGUGUGACUCAGCUCUGUAGACAGUGGACAGCACUUAGACCCUUGCACACAGGUAUGUCCGUUUCUCACGCCACUUCUUCAGCUCCUGUUCUCUGGUCCAUGUCUUUAAAAAGGUCAUUUCCUCAGAACUACUUCCUGUCACGUGACAAGAUAACUCAGGUAACUGCUGUGAUGACUUUGGUAAGUGCAGUUUUUAGUUGACCAGAGAAAACCCCUGUAACACUUAGAUGUAAAUAAGCAUAAAGAAUAAUUUAGUGUCUGGACAGAUGCCUAUCCUUAGAAACUGCAGGUACAAAGUCAUAUGUAGCUUUCUGGGAUCACUUUUCCAUCCUAAACCUAGAGAAGUUACUUCUUUGCUCCAUGCUGACAGGGCAUUUUGUAUAAUGAAUCCAUUUAUUUAAACAGCAGGCUCCUGGGAAAUAGGCAACUUGUUACUGACCCCAUUUUUAUUUCAUGUAUGUUGGUGUUUUUCCUGUAUUGUAUGUGUUAAUGGGGGUGUCAGAUCCCUGGAAUAGGAGUAACAGACAGUUAUAAACUGCCAUGUGGUUGCAGGGAAUUGAACUUGCAUCCUCUAGAAGGAUAGCCAAUGCUUACAACCCCUAGACAGAAUUUCUUCUCACUACAGUCCUGGCUGUCCUGGAACUUGCUCUGUUUACCAGGAUGGCCUCAAACUCAGAAAUCUACCUGGCUCUGAUUCUUAAGUGCUGAGAUUAAAGGGAUAGGACACGAUUGCCCUGCCCAAGGCUGUUUUUAUACUUUUCUUUGUAUUUAGAAAGUUCUCUGUAGCCUAAACCAGCCUGAAACUCACUGUGUAGCCCAAGGUCCCAAAUGAUGAUGAGCAAUCAUGCCUGGCUUAAGUUAAUUAUUUAACACAUGCUUACUUUAGGCUGACUUGAUGAGUCUUGCUUAUUACCAUCAUGGUACCUGGCAUGUGAUAUUGGUUCUCAACUUAUUGAUAAAGUGAACCUGAAAACUGUCAAUAGUAAAUAACUCAUGAGAAAAGAGGCCAUGAAGUUGAAGCAGAGUGUAUGUGUAUGUGUGUUGGGGUGGGAUAUUUGAGUAGGACCAUGCAUGGCAGCUAUUUAGAGAGGUCUUAACUUGACUGUGUGGGUAUUUGAUUGUUUUAAGUGCUAUUUAACAAGUGUUGCGCUUUCCCAGAAUAGUGUGCACUUUUAUGAACUUGUGUUCAUACUUGGAAAUGUGCUUUUGUGAUAGGACACGGAAGAUUGCCCAGGAACGAAAUCCCCAUAGAGGGAGGGUAGAUAGAGCUAACGUUGGCUUUGUUAGCAUGCAUUAAAAAUUAUCUGCCAGUUAACUAAAAUAAAUAUUACUAAGCCCUACUUGAAAGAUUGAUUCAUUGGGUAUGGAGUAGCACCCCAAAGUUUGUAUCUUUUUCAGUUGGUAUGGACAAUUCCAGUCUACAUGCCACAGUUGGAACAUACUGAUCUUUAAAACG
rnacentral:lncRNA from 1 species